rnacentral:rRNA from 1 species
UACGUAGGGGGCAAGCGGUUGUCCGGAAUCAUUGGGCGUAAAGCGGCGCGUAGGCGGCCCGGUAAGUCCGCUGUAAAAGUCCAGGGCUCAACCCUGGAAAGCCGGUGGAUACUGUCGGGCUAGAGUCCGGAAGAGGCGAGUGGAAUUCCUGGUGUAGCGGUGGAAUGCGCAGAUAUCAGGAGGAACACCGGUGGCGAAAGCGGCUCACUGGGCCAUUACCGACGCUGGAUGCUCGAAAGCUAGGGGAGCAAACAGG